CAGCCGCCGCGGUAAUACCGGCGGCCCGAGUGGCGGUCACUAUUAUUGGGCUUAAAGCGUCCGUAGCCGGGUUGGGAAGUCCUCCGGGAAAUCUGGCCGCUUAACGGUCAGAAUGCCGGAGGAUACUCCCAGCCUAGGGAGCGGGAGAGGCCGAGGGUAUUCCCGGAGUAGGGGGGAAAUCCUAUAAUCCCGGGAGGACCACCUGUGGCGAAGGCGCUCGGCUGGAACGCGUCCGACGGUGAGGGACGAAGGCCAGGGGAGCAAACCGGAUUAGAUGCCCGGGUAGUCCUGGCUGUAAACGAUGCGGACUUUGUGUCGGACAAGCUAUGAGCUUGUCCGGUGCCGGAGGGAAACCGUUAAGUCCGCCGCCUGGGGAGUACGGCCGCAAGGCUGAAACUUAAAGGAAUUGGCGGG
rnacentral:rRNA from 1 species